rnacentral:rRNA from 2 species
CCUGGUGACCAUGGCGCGAGGGAAAUACCUGUUCCCAUUCCGAACACAGAAGUCAAGACUCGCCGCGGCGAUGGUACUGCCUCGCUAGGGGGCGGGAGAGUAGCACGUUGCCAGGA